GAGCUGAUGGGCACAGUGACCUGCGCAACAUCGACAGCGCCGAGGAGAGCACAGACACGGAGGAGACGGUGAAAACCCACAUGUCGGAUCCCGAGGGGAGCCAGUAGCCGGACUGGGAUGCUGUGGCCUUCCCGUGUGGCCAGUCCUUCCCAGCUUGUGUUCAUUAUUUCUUUUGAGGCUUCCAGCCAGGCACAACGCGAGGUGCCUGCUCCUGGCACGGCCAUCCCCGGCCACCGGCAGCCCCGUGUCCCACCCCGGCAGCUGCCGGCCGGCUGGGGCGAGAGAAGUUUUUGUGUUCCAAUGUGCUCGUUUUCUUUUUCCUCCUGUUUUCAGACCUAGGGAUAAGCAGAGGUGGCCGGGGGAGGGAGGGGAGGAGCAGAAACAAAAGAAAAAGGACCAUGUCCCAAAGGAGCAACCCAAAUCCCAUCUGCCUUGCUGGCAGCACCUCCUCACCCACAGGGUGCUGUGGGGCACAGAGAGAGCAGCCCAGGGCUCCCACCCCCAUGGCACAGGUCACAUCUCAACCGUCAGACCCUGCUGGGAAUUGGUGCAGCAGGCACAGGUACAGCCCGUGGCAGCUUUCUGACCCACCAUAGGAAGGAGGAACCACCCUAACCCAUCUCCAGGAGGUUUUCGCGGGAUUUUGGGAUGGUGCCAAGCCUAGCUCUGAUGCGAGCUGUGUGACCAGCAGUGGGGCAAUGCCAGCCCAAUCGCUCCCAUUCACCCCUACUCCCAAAUGUAUUUUCCUUACUGGUUUUCCACGGGCUGUUCUUGUCCAGGCAUCGUGUUUGCAGUCAGUAGGGCUCCUGUGAGGAGGGCCCCUCACCUGCACCCGAGGAGUCCUGGUCCCCCCGUGCUCCCCAGCAUCACAUUUCGGUUCCGUGUCCCUCAUUUCUUGGUUGUCCUUCUCUCACUGGUAGGAACUCGUUCUGUAUUUCUAAUUUGCUCUGGUAAAAAGAGUGUAUUGUGCUGGAAAGAAAAAUAAUUUGUAUUUAUUUUCUCUGGUUAUUUAACUCUGGUGCAGUUUGUAACUGUCUGAAGUGCUCAUUUAAUUUUUGUACCUAAUUCUGUGUGCUGCCGGACACAGUCCCUGGCUUUCUUGGAUGCUGCCUUUCCUGCAGCUCUGCUCUGUUUCCCAGUGGAAAAUACCCAGAAUAUUCCCUACCAGCCCACCACGGUGCAGCUGGGCAGACAGGACUGGAUGCUCUGCUCCAUCCCCAGGAACAACCAGAUCCCAAGGCAGCACCCAGGUCUACCUGCACCCCUCAAGGAAGGACAGAGGGAAUAGAGGGGGGGUGACCCCAAUCAUGGAAGGGAGGGACUAGCCCUUAGCUAGCAGAGGCCCCAGCAGAGCCGUGCAGGCAGAAGACUCACCAGAAAAUAAAUGAUUUAUUACUAUGAAAAAAAGCCA
rnacentral:lncRNA from 1 species